GGGGAUGUUUAAAAUCGAUAGAAUCUGGAUUUAAAGUAUUCAAGUUAAGCGUUGACAAUUUAGCUUGUUAAUCUCAAAUUGUCAUUCCAACAAAUGCAAAUUCAUUUGUCGCUAAGGUAAAAAGAGCUUUUAGCUCUCUAGCCCUAGCACCUGCACCAAUCGCUUAAGAUUAGUGCCAUCAGCCUGGCGAAAUCUAAUAGCCAGAUCCUGGUGCCAUACAUUAGAUUGCACUAGAUUAGGGUCUUACUAAUCUACUAAGCAUUACAAGACUUUGACUCGUAGGGUUUUGUCAAUUUUAUACCUACCAGUCGAAACUAAAAAUUGGAUACACUUGUAAACUUACUUUAGCUCUAAUUCUAGACAGGGGUGCGAUUCCCCUCAUCUCCACCA
rnacentral:tmRNA from 1 species